rnacentral:tRNA from 1 species
CAGUAAAUAGUUUAAAAAAAAUUUAAAUUUUGGGAAUUUAAGAUGCAUUUUUGUUUUACUGA